rnacentral:rRNA from 1 species
CCUACGGGAGGCAGCAGUGAGGAAUAUUGGUCAAUGGACGAGAGUCUGAACCAGCCAAGUAGCGUGAAGGAUGACUGCCCUAUGGGUUGUAAACUUCUUUUAUAUGGGAAUAAAACGUUCCACGUGUGGGAUUUUGUAUGUACCAUAUGAAUAAGGAUCGGCUAACUCCGUGCCAGCAGCCGCGGUAAUACGGAGGAUCCGCGCGUUAUCCGGAUUUAUUGGGUUUAAAGGGAGCGUAGGUGGAUUGUUAAGUCAGUUGUGAAAGUUUGCGGCUCAACCGUAAAAUUGCAGUUGAAACUGGCAGUCUUGAGUACAGUAGAGGUGGGCGGAAUUCGUGGUGUAGCGGUGAAAUGCUUAGAUAUCACGAAGAACUCCGAUUGCGAAGGCAGUUCACUGGACUGCAACUGACACUGAGGCUCGAAAGUGUGGGUAUCAAACAGGAUUAGAUACCCUUGUAGUC